rnacentral:rRNA from 1 species
UAGGGAAUCUUCCACAAUGGGCGCAAGCCUGAUGGAGCAACGCCGCGUGAGUGAAGAAGGUCUUCGGAUCGUAAAACUCUGUUGUUAGAGAAGAACAUGCAGGAGAGUAACUGUUCUUGUAUUUGACGGUAUCUAACCAGAAAGCCACGGCUAACUACGUGUCAG